AGUCGAGCGGACAGAAGGGAGCUUGCUCCCGGAUGUUAGCGGCGGACGGGUGAGUAACACGUGGGUAACCUGCCUGUAAGACUGGGAUAACUCCGGGAAACCGGAGCUAAUACCGGAUAGUUCCUUGAACCGCAUGGUUCAAGGAUGAAAGACGGUUUCGGCUGUCACUUACAGAUGGACCCGCGGCGCAUUAGCUAGUUGGUGGGGUAAUGGCUCACCAAGGCGACGAUGCGUAGCCGACCUGAGAGGGUGAUCGGCCACACUGGGACUGAGACACGGCCCAGACUCCUACGGGAGGCAGCAGUAGGGAAUCUUCCGCAAUGGACGAAAGUCUGACGGAGCAACGCCGCGUGAGUGAUGAAGGUUUUCGGAUCGUAAAGCUCUGUUGUUAGGGAAGAACAAGUGCGAGAGUAACUGCUCGCACCUUGACGGUACCUAACCAGAAAGCCACGGCUAACUACGUGCCAGCAGCCGCGGUAAUACGUAGGUGGCAAGCGUUGUCCGGAAUUAUUGGGCGUAAAGGGCUCGCAGGCGGUUUCUUAAGUCUGAUGUGAAAGCCCCCGGCUCAACCGGGGAGGGUCAUUGGAAACUGGGAAACUUGAGUGCAGAAGAGGAGAGUGGAAUUCCACGUGUAGCGGUGAAAUGCGUAGAGAUGUGGAGGAACACCAGUGGCGAAGGCGACUCUCUGGUCUGUAACUGACGCUGAGGAGCGAAAGCGUGGGGAGCGAACAGGAUUAGAUACCCUGGUAGUCCACGCCGUAAACGAUGAGUGCUAAGUGUUAGGGGGUUUCCGCCCCUUAGUGCUGCAGCUAACGCAUUAAGCACUCCGCCUGGGGAGUACGGUCGCAAGACUGAAACUCAAAGGAAUUGACGGGGGCCCGCACAAGCGGUGGAGCAUGUGGUUUAAUUCGAAGCAACGCGAAGAACCUUACCAGGUCUUGACAUCCUCUGACAACCCUAGAGAUAGGGCUUUCCCUUCGGGGACAGAGUGACAGGUGGUGCAUGGUUGUCGUCAGCUCGUGUCGUGAGAUGUUGGGUUAAGUCCCGCAACGAGCGCAACCCUUGAUCUUAGUUGCCAGCAUUCAGUUGGGCACUCUAAGGUGACUGCCGGUGACAAACCGGAGGAAGGUGGGGAUGACGUCAAAUCAUCAUGCCCCUUAUGACCUGGGCUACACACGUGCUACAAUGGACAGAACAAAGGGCUGCAAGACCGCAAGGUUUAGCCAAUCCCAUAAAUCUGUUCUCAGUUCGGAUCGCAGUCUGCAACUCGACUGCGUGAAGCUGGAAUCGCUAGUAUCGCGGAUCAGC
rnacentral:rRNA from 1 species